CUUUUUAUUAAAAAAUUAUCCUGAUAAUAACAAUAAAUCUGGUAAGGCACUUUCAAAAAAUAGCCAAAUCACACAUUAUUAAGAAAACCACUACAAUCAAAAUCGGUAACUAUCAGCUUUCAGGGGGGUCUCAGGUUAUCAUGACGAUCGGGGUAAAGGAUGAACUACUAUUGCGGUCUGAAUUGAGGGAGUUUUGAUAACCGUUCGAAUACUAAUAAUAAAUAUCCUCCGGCAUAGCCGGAGGUUUUUCAGAUG
rnacentral:sRNA from 25 species